GUGGGUGUAGCUCAACGGUUAGAGCGCCGGACUGUGGCUCCGGAGGCUGCGGGUUCGAUUCCCGUCAUCCACCCCA
rnacentral:tRNA from 1 species